rnacentral:rRNA from 1 species
GUUAGGAAUAUUGGACAAUGGGCGCAAGCCUGAUCCAGCCAUGCCGCGUGAACGAUGAAGGCCUUCGGGUUGUAAAGUUCUUUAGCCGAUGAUUAUAAUGACUGUAGUCGGAAAAUAAGCCCCGGCUAACUUCGUGCCAGCAGCCGCGGUAAUACGAAGGGGGCGAGCGUUAUUCGGAAUCACUGGGCGUAAAGCGUGCGUAGGCGGUCUCGUAAGUUAGGAGUGAAAGCCCAGGGCUCAACCUUGGAAUUGCUCUUAAAACUGCAAUGCUAGAAUCUCGGAGAGGAUAGCGGAAUUUCCAGUGUAGCAGUGAAAUGCGUAGAUAUUGGAAGGAACACCAGUGGCGUAAGCGGCUAUCUUGACGAGUAUUGACACUGCGGCACGAAAGCGUGGGGAUCAAACAGGAUUAGAUACCCUUGUAGUCC